CCUACGGGCGGCAGUAGUGGGGAAUAUUGCGCAAUGGGCGAAAGCCUGACGCAGCGACGCCGCGUGAGGGAUGAAGGUCUUCGGAUCGGAAACCUCUGUCAGCAGGGAAGAACGGUCACUGUGCUAAUCAGCAGUGAAUUGACGGUACCUGCAAAGGAAGCACCGGCUAACUCCGUCCCAGCAGCCGCGGUAAUACGGAGGGUGCGAGCGUUAAUCGGAAUCACUGGGCGUAAAGCGCGCGUAGGCGGUAUGUCAAGUCAAGGGUGAAAUCCCCGCGCUCAACGUGGGAACUGCCUUUAAGACUGGCAAACUGGAGUGUGUGAGAGGAUAGUGGAAUGCCAGGUGUAGGAGUGAAAUCCGUAGAUAUCUGGAGGAACAUCAGUGGCGAAGGCGACUAUCUGGCACAUAACUGACGCUGAGGAGCGAAAGCGUGGGUAGCGAACAGGAUUAGAUACCCCUGUAGUC
rnacentral:rRNA from 1 species